GUGGGGAAUAUUGGACAAUGGGCGCAAGCCUGAUCCAGCCAUACCGCGUGGGUGAAGAAGGCCUUCGGGUUGUAAAGCCCUUUUGUUGGGAAAGAAAUCCUGUCGGUUAAUACCUGGCGGGGAUGACGGUACCCAAAGAAUAAGCACCGGCUAACUUCGUGCCAGUAGCCGCGGUAAUACGAAGGGUGCAAGCGUUACUCGGAAUUACUGGGCGUAAAGCGUGCGUAGGUGGUGGUUUAAGUCCGUUGUGAAAGCCCUGGGCUCAACCUGGGAAUGGCAGUGGAUACUGGAUCACUAGAGUGUGGUAGAGGGAUGCGGAAUUUCUGGUGUAGCAGUGAAAUGCGUAGAGAUCAGAAGGAACAUCCGUGGCGAAGGCGGCAUCCUGGGCCAACACUGACACUGAGGCACGAAAGCGUGGGGAGCAAACAGGAUUAGAAACCCCGGUAGUCC
rnacentral:rRNA from 1 species